ensembl:lncRNA IGFL2-AS1 IGFL2 antisense RNA 1
GCUGACUCUCUUUUCAGAUUCAGCCCAGUUGCACCCAAGUAAAAUAAACAGUCUUGUUGCUCACACAAAGCCUGUUGGUGGACUCUCUUCAUAUGGACUCAUGUGACAUUUGGUGCCGAAGACCUGAGACAGGAGGACUCCUUUGGGAGACCGGUCCCCUGUCCUCGCCCUCUCUCCAUGAGAUCCACCCAUGACCUCGGGUCCUCAGCCCAGCCGAAGGAACUUCUCACCAAUUUUAAAUCGGGGACGCAAAGCCAACAAGAAUGAAGAAGUGGCCAGAUGUGAAUCAGUGCAAGGGCCCAGGACAGCGGAAGAGGUGUGAAGCCAUCCUGUGAUCGGGAAGCCACAGGGUGUCCAGACCCAGCGGGAGCCGAGGAUUCAGGAGAAUCUCCCCAGUCAGCUCCAGAGGUGCCCACAGUGUGAGCUCUAGUGUCUCCCAGCUGCCAAACAGGGAAGGGCCGCCUGUCCAGUGGAUACAUGACCCACAUGACCUUACCUAUCAUUGGAGAUGGCUCACACUGCUCACCCUGCCCCCUUGUCUUGUAUCCAAUAAAUAACAGCGCAGCCUGGCAUUCGGGGCCACUACUGGUCACUGUGUCUUGGUGGUAGUGGUUCCCCGGGCCCAGCUGUUUUUUCUUUUA